UACGUAGGGGGCUAGCGUUGUCCGGAAUCAUUGGGCGUAAAGAGCGUGUAGGCGGUCCGGUAAGUCCGCUGUGAAAGUCCAGGGCUCAACCCUGGGAUGCCGGUGGAUACUGUCGGGCUCGAGUCCGGAAGAGGAGAGUGGAAUUCCUGGUGUAGCGGUGAAAUGCGCAGAUAUCAGGAGGAACACCCGUGGCGAAAGCGGCUCUCUGGGACGGUACUGACGCUGAGACGCGAAAGCGUGGGGAGCAAACAGG
rnacentral:rRNA from 1 species